UCCUUCACGUAGAUCAAUACAUUCAGGUGCUUUCCCAUAAUUGCAUACAUGCAUAUGCCCUCUCUAUAAAAGGCUAAUACUCCUGGGAGUUUCACAUUUUUGGAAACACAGUAAAAGGAUAGAACUUCGAAGCUCUCCUUCAAAAUUUGUAGACACCAUGGAUUUCUCAGCAGUGUUUUUAGACAACAGCGUUAUGAUUAUUUCUGGAGACAACCUUCCUGAGACGUCCAAGCAUGGCCAUUUGAAUCUGAGAUCAACUAGACGCAAGUCAUAACUUAAAAUUAUGAAUGUCUCAUACUGUAAAGUCUUUAAUUUUUCAUAUGCAUUUAUAUUUUGUUUGUUUCAUAUUCA
ensembl:lncRNA